GCUCAGAAACUCAAAUGAAUUGACGGGGGCCCGCACAAGCGGAGGAACAUGUGGUUUAAUUCGAUGAUACGCGAGGAACCUUACCCGGGCUUGAAAUGCAUCUGACCGGCCUUGAAAGAGGCACUCCCUUCGGGGCAGAUGUGUAGGUGCUGCAUGGUUGUCGUCAGCUCGUGCCGUGAGGUGUCGGCUUAAGUGCCAUAACGAGCGCAACCCUCAUCAUUAGUUACCAUCAGGUAAGGCUGGGGACUCUAAUGAGACUGCCAUCGUAAGAUGUGAGGAAGGUGGGGAUGACGUCAAAUCAGCACGGCCCUUACGUCCGGGGCGACACACGUGUUACAAUGGGUGGUACAAAGGGCAGCUACCUGGCGACAGGAUGCUAAUCUCGAAAACCGCUCUCAGUUCGGAUCGGAGUCUGCAACUCGACUCCGUGAAGCUGGAUUCGCUAGUAAUCGCGCAUCAGCCACGGCGCGGUGAAUACGUUCCCGGGCCUU
rnacentral:rRNA from 1 species